UAGAACAGUGACCAAGCCAUUCCCCACACAC
rnacentral:piRNA from 1 species